AUACUUACCUGGACGGGGUCAAUGGUUGAUCAUGAAGGACCAUGGUCUAGGGUGGUGACUUCCAUUGCACUUAGGAAGGGUGCCACUCUAAGGUCUACCCAAGUGGUGGAGCCUACGUCAUAAUUUGUGGUAGUGGGGACCUGCGUUCGCGCGGCCCCCUC